GAUGAGUGCUAAGUGUUGGAGGGUUUCCCCUUUCAGUGCUGCAGCAAACGCAUUAAGCACUCCGCCUGGGGAGUACGACCGCAAGGUUGAAACUCAAAGGAAUUGACGGGGGCCCGCACUAGCGGUGGAGCAUGUGGUUUAAUUCGAAGCAACGCGAAGAACCUUACCAGGUCUUGACAUCCUUUGACCACUCUAGAGAUAGAGCUUUCCCUUCGGGGACAAAGUGACAGGUGGUGCAUGGUUGUCGUCAGCUCGUGUCGUGAGAUGUUGGGUUAAGUCCCGCAACGAGCGCAACCCUUAUUGUUAGUUGCCAUCAUUCAGUUGGGCACUCUAGCGAGACUGCCGGUGACAAACCGGAGGAAGGUGGGGAUGACGUCAAAUCAUCAUGCCCCUUAUGACCUGGGCUGCGCACGUGCUACAAUGGGAAGUACAACGAGUCGCUAGGCCGCGAGGUCAUGCAAAUCUCUUAAAGCUUCUUUCAGUUCGGAUUGUAGGCUGCAACUCGCCUACAUGAAGCGGGAAUCGCUAGUAAUCGCGGAUCAGCACGCCGCGGUGAAUACGUUCCCGGGCCUUGUACACACCGCCCGUCACACCACGAGAGUUUGUAACACCCGAAGUCGGUGAGGUAACCUUUUGGAGCCAGCCGCCUAAGGUGGGAUAGAUGAUUGGGGCGAAGUCGUAACAAGGUAACCA
rnacentral:rRNA from 1 species